rnacentral:rRNA from 1 species
UACGUAGGGGGCAAGCGUUGUCCGGAAUUAUUGGGCGUAAAGCGCGUGUAGGCGGUUCGGUAAGUCCGCUGUGAAAGUCCAGGGCUCAACCCUGGAAGGCCGGUGGAAACUGUCGGGCUAGAGUCCGGAAGAGGCGAGUGGAAUUCCCGGUGUAGCGGUGAAAUGCGCAGAUAUCGGGAGGAACACCAAUGGCGAAGGCAGCUCGCUGGGACGGUACUGACGCUGAGGCGCGAAAGCGUGGGUAGCAAACAGG